rnacentral:rRNA from 1 species
UACGGGGGGGGCAAGCGUUGUUCGGAAUUACUGGGCGUAAAGGGCGUGUAGGUGGCCAACUAAGUCAGACGUGAAAUCCCUCGGCUUAACCGGGGAACUGCGUCUGAUACUGGAUGGCUUGAGUGUGGGAGAGGGAUGCGGAAUUCCAGGUGUAGCGGUGAAAUGCGUAGGUAUCUGGAGGAACACCGGUGGCGAAGGCGGCAUCCUGGACCGACACUGACACUGAGGAGCGAAAGCCAGGGGAGCAAACGGG